GCACUAUGUGGCGAAAUGGUAACGCGGUCUCCCCCUUUACAUAAAAGGGUAUAGAUAUAUCGAGGGUUCGACCCCCUCCAUAGUGCA
rnacentral:tRNA from 1 species